CAGCCUCCCGAAGGGGCGGCCGGGAGGGCGGGGCCUGCGGCCGCGCAGCCGGAAGCCACGCCCCAGGUCGCUCCCGCGGGUACCUCGGGGCUACGCGGAGCUCUGAGAUUUCCAAUAAUGGGAACAGCCGCCUUCCAAUGGAGCCGGAGCUGCCACGCCGAGGAGCUGCCUUGCAACACCUGCCUGAGAGCCUGGAAGGUUGAAACAGGGCAAAGCAACCUUUGGACGCGGCCGAAGCAACACGGGGUCCUGAAGAACCGUUUACAAGGACAAGAAAGCAGUUACGAUGACUGCUGGGCUGAUGACUGAAAAUGAAAACCACAGAACACUGGGUGGACUUCUGCCUGAAUCCGAGCGUCCGCAGUCGCUGUUCUCGUCGAUCUCAGUAACUGUUCGCUGCCCCUCGCUUCGCGAGGCCCUUCGACCCUUUAGUGUGCAGAGGCCACUGUGCUUGCAGGUUUGCAAGCCAGGGAGCGGCCGGAAGGGCGUUCGGCCCUGCGCUCGCCGAGGCGCGCCCCCUUGGGGAUGUUCUGUGAGGGACCGGGGACU